GCCCUUCAAAAAAUGGUAAACAAAAAAUCCCCCCAACUUUUUGAACCCCCCUUGGAGCAAUAACCCUUAAACUCAAUCCCAUGCUUUCCAUUGCAGUAUUGAACCUUGUAGUACAAUUUCAGAGAGAUCCAUACACUUAAACACAAGUUAUUGACAUAAUUGUUUGGAAACUAGAAUCAUGCUUCUUUUUGGCCCCUAAUUCCUACAUAUUUUGGGCAAUUAACCCAAAACUUAAUCCCAGCCUCCCCUUUGUUAUAUGGUACAUUGUGGUACAAUUUCAGAGAGAUCCAUACAAUUACACAUAAGUUAUUGUCUUGAAACUAGAAAAAAGCUUGUUUUGACCCCUUUUUGGCCCUUAAUUCCUAAACUUUGGCUCCAUAACCCCUAAAAUGAAUCCAAACCUUCUACUUGUGGUUUUAAACAUUGAGGUAUGAUUUUAGAGCAAUUGAAAUACUUCUACACAAGUUAUUAUCCUGAAACUAGAAAAAUGCUUGUUUUGGGCCCCUAAUUCCUAAUCGGUUGGGACCAUCAUCCACAAAAUCAAUCCCAACCUUCCUUUUGUGGUAUUGAACCUUCUGAAAAAAUUUCAUGAAGAUCUAUUCACUUAAACUAAAGUUAUUAUCUGGAAACCAAUGUGUCUUCGGACGACAACGCAGACGACGACAUCAUACCAAUAUACGAUCCCAAAAAAUUUUUGGGGUCGUAUAAAAAUU
rnacentral:lncRNA from 1 species